UGAGGAGUAGUUCAACUGGUAGAGCACUGGUUUCUGGUACCAGGUGUUGAGGGUUCGAGUCCUUCCUCCUCAG
rnacentral:tRNA from 1 species